rnacentral:rRNA from 1 species
AUGAUUAUUCUCCUAAGAGGUCUUGAAUUCACUCAUGUAUCUACUCCUAAGGGCAUCCCCAACAGGUUGUAUGUUAGUCUUAUUGGCAAAAUGUCCAUGUCAUCAACCAACAAGCUAUCAUACAACUACUUCAAUAGGUUGUAUCUAAGUUAUGCAAUAGAUGGUGAGAAAAUAAAUGUGAUUGCUCUCUAUUUCAUCUUGGAGCUUGUGCAAAGGUUGUUGGUUAAUCUAUAUACAACUUUGCUCUCUCCACAUUUAUUACAUGCCACAUCAUUACUAUGUCCUAGGUGGCAAAUUUACCAACACCUAUCUUACAAUUGUUGGAGAUGCCCUAAGAUGAAUCCCACUAGGGGAGGUAGAUGA